UCUGUUUUCCAUAAGCACUCAAAUAUUUUUUCAAAAACUUUAAAAGCAAAGCACAACUUGUGCUCUGCCACUGCCAAAAAGGAUUUGAAGCAGCAAAAUAUUAAGAUUCAGGAAAACUGAAGACUCUUUUUUGUUUUUUUUUUUAAAGGCAAGAGCCAAGGAAAAAGGUGUAUAUGGCGAGGAGGAAGAAAAACUUUAUCAGAAUGCUUUCGCUAAAUGAAGCGAUUAUAGUUGAAAACAAAACUUCAUUUCCUUAGAGGGAAGCCAAAGCAAAGAGAGAACCAUGAGACGUGUCCCAACUCUCUAUUUCAAUGAAAGGAAAUUCACCAUUCAUCAGGAGGGAUACUUUUUUGUUUGUUUCUAAGCUAGCGUGGGGUAUACAGAGAACACUGAUCAUAAUGGUUGAGAACUUUGAUAGUAGUUAUAAGUGGAGUUGUCCUUCCUUUGGCAAAUGUCGUCUGACAGGUGCCUCAGUCUAACACUCAGGACGGAGUUCCUGAUUCCUCCACCAGUGAGCCUCAUCCCCUAAACAGUUCUUCCUAUAAUCUCUACUUCAACAAAUGGCAGUUCCAUCCUUCCAGUUGCUGAGGCUGAUUGAGUGGAGUCAUCCUUGAUCCCUCUUCUUUCAAACCCUGUAGCUGAUCUGCUAGCAAAUGCUGUCAGGUCUGCCUUUAAAACACAUUCAGAAUCUGAUCACUUUUCAAACCACCUCCACUGCCACCACCUUAUCCAAACCAUGAUUUAUCUCCAGGAUUACUGCAAUGUUCUCCCUGAUCCCACCUUCAGUGUAUUCAGAUCCUAUUAAAUAUGUCACAUCAAGUCACUCACCUGCUCAAAACCCUCCAAUGUCCCAAUCUCAUUCAGAAUUAAAGCCAUAAAUCCCAGGGGGCUCUCCAUAAUCUAUUGUCAUCCCCAUCUGUCACUUAAAUUCUGUCGUUUUACUUCUUUGACCUUACCUGCUACUCUUCCUUGAUUCAUACCACUUGGCAUCACACGCCUCUUUGCUAUUGUAGAAAUAUCCCAGACAUGCUUCUAUUUCAGGGCCCUUGCAAGGGCCUUGUAGAGCUCUCUGCCUAAAUGCCCCUCUAAGUGGCCACUCCCUUCUCUCUUCAGCUCUUUUAGAGCUUUAUUCAAAUACCACCUUCCCAGUGGGGCUUUCCCUAGCCUUCCUGUUUGAUAUUGCAAACACUUCUCCUCCUGCCCCAGCAUAUGACAUUUUGCAUCUGCAUCUCCUCUUUCUACUUUAUUUGCCCCCUCAGCACAGUUCACUAUCAUAUUGUAUAUAUACAUAUAUUUACUUUUUCUUGCUUAUUUCUAUCUUGUACACUAGAAUACAAACACGAUGAAGGCAGGGAUUUUUUUUUUCCUGCUAUAUCACCCGGUUUAGGACAGGGCUUGGCACACAGUGGGUAUACAAAAAUCUGUUUUAAGAAAGCAGAGGCCGGGCGUGGUGGCUCACGCUUGUAAAUCCAGCACUUUAGGAGGCCGAGGUGGGUGGAUCACUUGGGUCCAGGAGUUCGAGACCAGCCUAGC
rnacentral:lncRNA from 1 species